GAUGAACGCUGGCGGCGUGCUUAACACAUGCAGGUCGAACGGAAAGGCCCAAGCUUGCUUGGGUACUCGAGUGGCGAACGGGUGAGUAACACGUGGGUGAUCUGCCCUGCACUUCGGGAUAAGCCUGGGAAGCUGGGUCUAAUACCGGAUAGGACCACUUCUUGGAUGUUGUGGUGGAAAGUUUUUUCGGUGUGGGAUGAGCUCGCGGCCUAUCAGCUUGUUGGUGGGGUAAUGGCCUACCAAGGCGUCGACGGGUAGCCGGCCUGAGAGGGUGUACGGCCACAUUGGGACUGAGAUACGGCCCAGACUCCUACGGGAGGCAGCAGUGGGGAAUAUUGCACAAUGGGCGCAAGCCUGAUGCAGCGACGCCGCGUGGGGGAUGACGGCCUUCGGGUUGUAAACUCCUUUCGCUAGGGACGAAGCGUUUUGUGACGGUACCUGGAGAAGAAGCACCGGCUAACUACGUG
rnacentral:rRNA from 1 species